rnacentral:pre_miRNA from 14 species
GAAGUUGCUCUAUAAGAAAACCUGGAUAGGGAGGCGUUAAGUUAAACUCCAGGAGAGUUGUGGAUGCGAUAGGCGUG